rnacentral:rRNA from 1 species
UAAUACGAGGGGUGCUAGCGUUAUUCGGAAUUACUGGGCGUAAAGGGUGCGUAGACGGUAUAUUAAGUCUGUUGUUAAAUCCUCCGGCCUAACCGGAGAAUCGCGACGGAAACUAGUAUGCUAGAGGAUGAGAGAGAGAAGUGGAAUUCUCGGAGUAGCGGUAAAAUGCGUAGAUAUCGAGAGGAACAUCAAUGGCGAAGGCAGCUUCUUGGCUCAUUUCUGACGUUGAGGCACGAAAGCGUGGGGAGCAAACAGGAUUAGAUACCCUGGUAGUCCACGCCGUAAACGAUGAUCACUAGACGUUAGUCUGGCUCUGCCGGAUUAGUGUCGUAGCUAACGCGUUAAGUGAUUCGCCUGGGGAAUACGGUCGCAAGGCUA